rnacentral:rRNA from 1 species
UUCGCCCGGGAACAACGAGCCUCAGCUUGAAACCCAAAGGACUUGGCGGUGCUUUAGACCCCCCUAGAGGAGCCUGUUCUAGAAUCGAUACUCCCCGUUCAACCUCACCCCUUCUUGUUUCUCCCGCCUAUAUACCGCCGUCGUCAGCUUACCCUGUGAAGGCCAAAUAGUAAGCAAAAUUGGUAAAACCCAAAACGUCAGGUCAAGGUGUAGCGUACGGAGGGGGAAGAAAUGGGCUACAUUUGCUGCCUCAGCAAAUACGGACCUUGCACUGAAAAAGCAUCUGAAGGAGGAUUUAGCAGUAAGAGGGGAAUAGAGUGCCCCCCUGAAAAUGGCCCUGAAGCGCGCACACACCGCCCGUCACUCUCCCCCAAACCCCUCACAACCAUAAGUAAUAAGCAUGACCUUUAACAAGGGGAGGCAAGUCGUAACAUGGUAAGUGUACCGGAAGGUGUACUUGGAAAACCA